AUUGAACGCUGGCGGCAGGCCUAACACAUGCAAGUCGAGCGAGCGGCGGACGGGUGAGUAAUGUCUGGGAAACUGCCUGAUGGAGGGGGAUAACUACUGGAAACGGUAGCUAAUACCGCAUACCAUCAGAUGUGCCCAGAUGGGAUUAGCUCGUAGGUGGGGUAACGGCUCACCUAGGCGACGAUCCCUAGCUGGUCUGAGAGGAUGACCAUCCACACUGGAACUGUGCCACGGUCCAGCCUCCUAGGGGAGGCAGCAGUGGUGAAUAUGGCACAAUGGGCGCAAGCCUGAUGCAGCCAUGCAGGGUGUAUGAAGAAGGCCUUCGGGUUGUAAAGUACUUUCAGCGGGGAGGCGUUACCCGCAGAAGAAGCACCGGCUAACUCCGUGCCAGCCGCCGCGGUAAGAC
rnacentral:rRNA from 1 species